GCCUUCUUAGCUCAGUGGUAGAGCGUUGCACUUGUACCCUCGGUCAAUGCAAAGGUCAGUCGUUCAAUCCGGCUAGGAGGCA
rnacentral:tRNA from 1 species